GACGAACGCUGGCGGCGUGCUUAACACAUGCAAGUCGAGCGGUAAGGCCCUUUCGGGGUACGACGAGCGGCGAACGGGUGAGUAACACGUGGGUGACCUGCCCUCCAGUUCUUGGGAGUAAGCCUGGGAAACCGGGGUCUAAUACUGGAUAUGACCUCAUGACGCAUGUUGUGGGGUGGAAAGCCUUGUGCGACUGAGGAUGGGCCCGCGGCCUAUCAGCUUGUUGGUGGGGUGAUGGCCUACCAAGGCGACGACGGGUAGCCGGCCUGAGAGGGCGACCGGCCACACUGGGACUGAGACACGGCCCAGACUCCUACGGGAGGCAGCAGUGGGGAAUCUUGCGCAAUGGGCGAAAGCCUGACGCAGCGACGCCGCGUGAGGGAUGACGGCCU
rnacentral:rRNA from 1 species